UGCGUCCGUAGCUCAGUUGGUUAGAGCACCACCUUGACAUGGUGGGGGUCGGUAGUUCGAGUCUACUCGGACGCACCAU
rnacentral:tRNA from 1 species